CCUACGGGAGGCAGCAGUGGGGAAUAUUGGACAAUGGGGGGAACCCUGAUCCAGCCAUUCCGCGUGUGUGAAGAAGGCCCUCGGGUUGUAAAGCACUUUCAGUGAGGAAGAACGCCUGGUGGUUAAUACCCAUCAGGAAAGACAUCACUCACAGAAGAAGCACCGGCUAACUCCGUGCCAGCAGCCGCGGUAAUACGGAGGGUGCGAGCGUUAAUCGGAAUUACUGGGCGUAAAGCGCGCGUAGGUGGCUUGAUAAGCCGGUUGUGAAAGCCCCGGGCUCAACCUGGGAACGGCAUCCGGAACUGUCAAGCUAGAGUGCAGGAGAGGAAGGUAGAAUUCCCGGUGUAGCGGUGAAAUGCGUAGAGAUCGGGAGGAAUACCAGUGGCGAAGGCGGCCUUCUGGACUGACACUGACACUGAGGUGCGAAAGCGUGGGUAGCAAACAGGAUUAGAUACCCCGGUAGUC
rnacentral:rRNA from 1 species